GCUCAUAUUUCAUGGGAAACUCUGUCAAAAUUUUGUUAAAAAUAUUUUCUAGUCAAAUGAAUCAAGGUUGCCUUGGUGGUGGUCCGACGUUCAGCUGGUAUUUACCAUCAACGCAUGACACGUAUCGAAUCCAUUAAAGUUAUUCAGAACGGGUCUUGUCAAAGAGGGUAGACGAUAGUUGGUAGGAAGGGUCAAAUAUUUAUCUGAUGAUGUUAGAGUGCUGUGUGACCAUUAUGUGGACUUUCAGGAUGAGAUUGCAGCACUUUGAGUGAUAUAGUCGGCAGGUGAUGGGGUGACAGAGAUGGUGACCAAAGGGUGAUAAAGAGGGGGGUCAUCGGCAGUCGUGGUCGGAUGAUGCAUUGGAAUUAUUUUGGUUAUCCGUGGAGUAGAAGUGGGUAGCCCCUUCGAGGACGGGAGCGGUGACAGAGGAGAAAGUGGCCCCAUCAGGGACGGAAGAGGAAGCGAGCCUAGAGGAGGUGGUGGUCCCCAAAGUGGAAGAGGAGAAGACGACCAUCGUGAUUGAGGCUAAAAAAUGUGCUCUUGACGCGCUAGAGCUGGUGGUCGGUAAGAAGUCGAGAGCACCGUCACGGCUGAGACGAAGAGGAGAAGGCUUGUUGACGGGACAUACUCCAAUUUGUUUCGGGAGGUCAACCAUGUCAAAUGGAAAGCAUUCGAGACUAAGUGGUGAAGAAUUUUGCUCGGAGCCAGCCGGAUGAUAGCCAAAAAGACGAUAUUAGACGCAUACAAGUGGUUCCAUGAUAUCAUCACUCAGGAGGCUUGACUUGCUGACGAUCACAUCGACCUGGCCAUCGAUUUAUUGAGCGAUCGAGCUAAGAGAUAUCCACAAUCGUUCUACAUUCCUGACCGAAUAAUACCAAACAUUGAGUUUUUUCAUGUCGUUACCAUUGAGUAUCAGUCAUUCCAACUUAUGGGUAACGAGUACACGCUACCCGAGUAUAUGCUCGAGUGGGUCAUCGGGUUAUCACCAAGUGUUGAGGAAAGUCAUGGGAGAAUUGUACGUAUAUGUACAUUCCAGUGAUCAUGAAUUAUCACUGCAUUGCUCUGAAGAUCGUAUUUGCUGACUCAACGAUAUAUGUGUACGAUUCCGAUCAUUCAUAUCUGACACAGGGGUAGCUCGAGCUAAACUUGGAGUUGAUGACUGUGAUUAUUCCUUUGAUGGCUAGACAGGCGGGCAUGACCGUGUAGGACGGACUAGCCAUCUUGCGGGACACGACGACGGUGAGACAAU